UUCAGCAGGCCCACUUGUCACUGAUAAUACAAACAGUAUGCAAGUUAGAGGUCUCUUUAGGUCUUGGUUUGCUAUUUCUUUAAAACCGCAGGAAGACUGGAUACAGUCAAGUGGGCCUCUUAGUAUGUGGUUGAGGGCUAGACCCAGUAGAAGGGUGGGGAGUGGGUGAAGGACACGAGGGACAGGGAUCAAGUGUGACAGUAAGACGACUGGACCAAUGGGGCGCCUGGGUGGUUCAGUCGGUUAAGCGUCCAACUCUUGAUCUCAGCUUAGUUCAUGAUCCUAGGGUUGUGAGAACAAGCCCCUUGUUGGUCUCUGUGCUGACUGUGGAGCCUGCUUAACAUUCCCUCUCUCCCCUCCUCUGCCCCUCUCCCCUGCUUGUGUGCUCUCAAAAAAAAAAAAAAAAAAAAAUUACAGAAAAAAUGCUGAGUGAACUAAGUAACUGACCUUGAAACGAGACGACCCUGUGUGCCCCACAGCUUCAGACAAUACUCUGAAAAUUCACCCCAACUGGAGUCUCAUUUGGAAAAGAUGGCUCAACUGUGAUCUAGCCACCUUUAAGAAUCUUUUGAAUUCUAGCAAAUAACCGCUUUAAAGCAAAAAGCCUCAAGUUUGUCACACAGCCAAUCUUAAUCAUGUGCUCCAAAACCAAAUAUUCAGCAGACACACAAUAGAGAAAGAGACCCCAGACACGAAAGACAGAGACAAAUUCAAUGCCAACAACACACAUAUUUUCCUAUUUCUGUGUUGGCCAACUGGCCAGAGGAUUCUGCCCAUCUGAAAUUCCCUCUGGUCUCCACCAAGAACUGUAUCCUUCACUUUCUCCAUUAAACUGUUUAUGACAUGCCAAAGGCACAUUUUGGGAGAAGGGUGGUAAAUAAACCUGCACUCUCCAUCGUCCACGGCACCUCUUUUAGUAGAAGGCUGCUCCAUACAUGACAAAGCCCAGAGGCACCCAGGCCAGGGGAGCAAAGCUCGGCUGCCCUUGCUCACGCAGUGCAGACGUGUCUUGUCAGAGGUCACAUCUUCAGCCUGUUUUACUACUGCUUAGAAACUACCGACGAACCCAAAGAGGUUGUGACUGGCCGGCUAACCAGGAACUAAAAUGGCCAUGCAAUAAACACAAGUCCUGUUUUCAUUACCUCAUACAGCAGCACAGUUCUGUGCCUUCUUAGGAAAGAAUGAGGGAAGGGAACAGCGUUAGAGACUGGGGGGUGGGGGAAAGGAAGACUGGUGGUGAGCAUCACAGGAUUUCUCUGCUCUUCUGAGGUUAAUUCACUGCUGGGAAGACGCCAAGCUCAACAAUUCCCAUAUGCCUCUCCCAAUCUAAGUGAGAAGACGGGUUCUUUCUCCUUGAACUGCACUAGGUCUUAGAUCAAUAAUACACUGAGUAGAGUUUCUUGGCCCAGGUCAAAGCUUCAGGUCAUGGAUGGCAUGCCUAGAUCACUAGGUUUCCUUGCUAUGCCAAGGUGAAAGGAGGAGGGAGAGAAAAGAGAGAAAAGAGUGCUAGACGAGCCGGAGGAAUAUCCAAUGUCCAGUAUCUCCAGGAGAGCCGAGUGCUGGCUCACCUACCCUGGCCAGUGAUUUGUUUCUCUCCCUUAAUCCCCAUCGACAGGGACAGACAGCACUGCCUUGCACAUGUGUUCCUUCAUUUCAACUUGGAUCCUCUGAGGCAAUGCAUGAACUAGACUGAGAGUCUUCUCCACUUAGAAGAUGGAAAGCAGAGGCUGAGUGGACCUGCCCAGGGCACACAGCGAGCAGUGGCACAGGACGGGGCCGGUGCUGUAGCUCUGUGGGUGAGUCCUCGGUGAGGAGGCCAUCGGGAUAGCUAACAGCUGUGGGAGAAGGGCUCUUUGGGAAACUUUCUCAAAGCAGCCCCAAAAAACAAGCAAGCUGAAUCUUACCUAAAUUAAAAAAAAAAUGCUUCAUUUGUUUUAUAUUUAUUUGUUCCAGAGAUAAAUGCUUAUUCUUGCUGAGCUUUCCAGAGAGAAAAGGCCCUUGGCUUCAUUUCUCAGGAAAAAGUCACCCUCCCUCUGCCGUGUGGAUAAGCCGGACUCCCUCCCUUCCAGCCCCCACCAGCCUUCAUCUCCCUAACAAUGAAGCAGGUGACGAAUGUAGCAGGAGAGACUGGGAAGGAUCUAACAUCCAUGGGGCCGCCAAAUUAAAACACAGGACACCAGUAGGUGCUUGAUGAAGGCCUUCCUGCUCUCCAUUCUCUUUCUGUUCUAACUUCUGCAUUACUGGAGAGGGCAGGUAAGUUCAUUUGGGUCCCAGGACUACGUCUGCAGAGGGAGACAAAAAUUACUACUACAUGCUCUAUGGCUCCCCCCAAAGAUGCUUGUGUUCGGAUUCCUGCAGCCUGUGACACAGAGCUUACAGGGUUUAUAAGCUGCUCUUCAGAGGACCUUGGGAUGAGGAGACUGUCCAGGAUUAUCUGCCUGGGCCCAGUGUAAUCUCAGGGGUCCUGUCAAUGGCAGAGGGGCUCGCAAGAGCCAGGGAGAUGGCAGCGCGACAAGGACUUGGAAGGAGGGGCUGUUUGUUGAGGAAGCCAGCAGCCUCCGGAAGUUGGAGGAGCAGGGAAGUGGAUUCUUCCCUAGGGCUUGCAGAAAGAACUGCACCCUGCUGAUACCCCUGACUAUGUGGGGUGUCAGCCCAGUGACUAUGCUGGACCUCUGGCCUACAGAGUCGGAAGAUAAUACACGUGUGUUGUUUCAAGCUACAAUGUGUGUGGUAAUUUGUCAGAGCAGCAAUGGAAAACGAGUACAUUUUCCAACUCAGCUUCACCAGGAAUACAGCUUAAUCGUGGCGGUGGCUAGCAUUUACCCGGGGGCCGGUCUUUGUUCUAAGUACUUUCUGUGCAUCAGCUCUUUUGUUUAUGGUUAGCCUAUGCGGCUAAGUAACUGCUGGAAGGUCCCACACAGCUGUAGGUUGUAGAGCCAUGACUUCACCUAGCUCUGGCUCCAGAAUGUUAACACUAUGAGCGUAUAAACUUAAAUUCCUGUUUUGCAUCUUGUGUCUAUCUUGGCUGCUGUUGAGAUCUACAGAAGCAAUGAACUUGCGGUUAUUCAUAUUCACCCUUAAUUUUCAGGCCCUGUCCCUUCCACCUGUAAGACCUUGGGCAAUCCCUCACUUUAGCUGAGGCUCCGAAUGAUGCUUAAAAUGGGAAUAAUGUGACCCACCCUGAGAACUGACAUGAUAAUCAAACAAAUGAGGUGGCAAUGAUGCCUGACACACAGUAGGUGACUGAUAAACACUGCUGACGAUGUCUAUCCGAAGGAUGAGAAUCUGGUCAUCCUGUCCUCAGAUUCAUGCAGAUUCAGUAUUUCCCGGCAGGAGAGAUGGAAGGAAGUGCACAGAUGACCGACAAUCCCACGGCCUGUAUCACUGGUCUUGCCGUCAGGAAUCCCGGUCUAUGUGUAUCGUUCUGAGAGCCAGGAAGAGGGUGACCAGGCCUGCCAGUCAUGCCGGUGAGAGAAACCGUUGAUGAAAAGGUCAAAUUUAGCCCAGAGAGGAGACAACCAAGGGAAGGGCCAGGGUUAGGUGCUGUCGUCAGGAAGACACUCCGUAGCUCAGGAGACCAAAGUGAUGGGUCAAUGGGUCAAAGCCGUAAGGGGGCAGGCACAGUAUGAAGGGCCGGUUGUGGACCGGAAGUGGCCUCAGAAGCACGUCCUCCCUGUCUGUGGAACUAUGAAAGCAAAGGCCGUCAGGUGGUCACGUUUCAGGGGGUUUCUGCAGACCCUGACAUAUGCCUGAUGGCUUUGGAGGCCCAACACUCCAACUCCUGACAAGUUCUUACUGUUUCUACGAGUACCAAACGCAGGCUGGCCGCCUCUGCUGGCAGGGAAAACCAGGACUCAGAGAAGGCAGAAUUCUACUGGUUUAAAGGCGGCACUUUGUGAAGGUUCCGAUUUUCACUGCUCACGGUGUAACUGAAGAAUGUGAGAACCCAGGGUCUAUUUAGAGACCGCAGGGAUCUACACCGACAGGAGCCCAGCCAAGCUGCAGACACCAACAGCUUCUACCUUCUUUGCUAGAAGAGCCGCCCCACCCAGCACAGCCAUCUUGAAUCCUAAAUGACCCAGUCACAGAGGAAAGGAUGUAAGGAGAGACAGGCCAGACUCUGGGGGUGAAAACUCGCUGACCUGCUCUGCCGGCCACGUGGUGAGGGAUCUUCUGUCUGCUGGAGGCAGGGACCACGUUACCCUGUGAGGGUGUGGUAUCUGUACACACAUUAGAUGGAGCAAAGUCACUUUUUAAAAAUUAGAGUCUAGGCCCUCGGGCACCUCAUUCGCCUGGAGGUUACCUCGGACCCUCUGAACCAACAUCCGUGGCUGCAGGGCCCAGGACUUGCCCUCCUGGUGUGUCUCUCCCUCAGUGAAGUGUGGGAACCACCGGGCUGGGAGGCCUCCAAGCACAGUGGCACCUCACCCUGUCCGGCUGUGUGUGGGGAGUCUGGGGCCUGAGAAGGUAAAGGUUAUAGGGGAGGUGAGGUUUGGUUUGAGAUAAAAAGGGAAACAGAUGCCGGGGGGGGGGGGGCAGGAAACCAGGAGUAAAAUGUUUCCUGAGUUAUGGUUCUAUCUUCCCGAAGAAAAAAAAAAAUCCCCCCAGCAGAUAAGCUUAUUAAUGAGAAGUUCUGCCUCAUUUCCUAGAACCUACAGGAGUAACUAAGAUGUAACAGGCACCAAAUAUUUGCUGAGCGGAUGAAUAAAUGAAAAUAAUACUGAAGGCUGAGGCAGGUACAUUGAACGCCGUAUCUAGUUUCUCUUAGGAUGAGGCCAAUCGAAGGCCUUCAUGAGCCGGGUCAAGGCGAUCCCAUUGCACCUUAUGAGGGCCCCUGAGGACACAGCCGAGCUGCUAAAAAAAAGACUCUCCCCAAACUGUCCCUUUCUGCUCACAGGCCACGAAGAGUGUGGUUAUUUUAAAAAAUAGAAUGGACGGGGGCGCCUGGGUGGCUCAGUCCAUUAGGUGUCUAACUUUGGCUCAGGUCAUGAUCUCACGGUUUGCAGGUUCAAGCCCCACUUCGGGCUCUGUGCUGACUUUUCAGAGCCUGGAGCCUGCUUCAGAUUCUCUCUCUCUCUCUCUCUCUCUCUCUCUCUCUCUCUUCCCCCACUUGUGCUCUUUCUCAAAAAUAAAUAAAAGUUGAAAAAAAAAUAACAGGAUGGACAAAGCCACUUGCUGCCUUGUCACCAAGAGACACCCUUUGGUCCUGGGACAGAACUCUUACACAGAGGGCAGCAGACGCCCACGCUCACUGUCCCAGCUGGCACUCCCGUGGGGAGUGGCGCCUCUGUGGCGGGGGGCAGGCAUGGCCCGGCUCCAAGACCGGCCUCGAUACCCACCUUCGCCUGCCGCGGGAUCAGAGACACACGGGUAAACGGCGGCUCCUUCCCCUUCCGCACGGAAGGCGGGACAAAGAUCCAGAGGCGCGGUCUGGGUGAAGUGACUGCUCAGGGGGAACGCGGCCACCCCUCUGUCCUUCCACAGAUUCCAGGCCCAGCAAGGGAAGCAGACAGACGGCCACCGGGGGGCCUAGGAGUCUCUCAUGCACCUCACUCCCUGCCGGCAACAUUCUCCCUCCCCAAAGGCCGCCCCGCCUCCUGGUCUCUGCACGGGCAGGAGGAACGACCCACCGUGCUCUCUAGGAACCAAAGGCACCCGCUUCCUUGCGUUAAGCACCCCCUCCUCCCCUGGACAGCACGAGGUUUGUCCCCGAGCUACAACAAACCACCACCGAAGACGGGGAGACUGCCUGCAGUGCGCUCACUGAACAUCUGCUCGGAGCCAUCGGGCGGUGAAAGCACAGUGGCUUUGCGGCUUAGGAAACAGCAAACCGUCUACACUGCGCGAACCUACUGAGGCUGCCACCCUGCCUCAAAGGAGCUCGGACGCGGUCUCUGGCUGGCGCAGAGAAGACUGUGAGGAGGCAGAAUUAGGCAAUGACACAAGCACUAGCCUUAUUAGCUAAUCACAACCCCAGGGCAUUAGUGACACACGGAGUGACUCUUCUCCCAGGGGACCAAUUAUUCCACAGUUACGUCUCCUCCCUUAACUUUCAAGUUGUGGGGGCGGGGAGGAAUGACAGGGUAGGGGGAGGCUGCUGCUAUCAGAAAAUGGUGUUAAAAGGGUCUGAGGCGGUCCGAUGUCACUACCUGAUGGUCUGUAAUGGCCAUAUCCUCCGUCCCAUUUUCUUCUCCCAGCACAUUGCCUCACCUCAGAAGGACAGUUGACGAUGCGGCUUCGGGCGACACCGGGCCAGACAGGCCACCCUGGUUCUCCUGGUUCUCCGGAAGAUGCGCAGGAAGAACUCUCUCUCAGUCUAGAGGGCUGGGUGAAGCAAGCCCCUCGUCUGGACCCUGACUGGCUUUUGAGGCAUUAUUCCUAGGAAAGCACACACUGGAAGGUGAGAAAGCGGUGCAGAAAUGGAAGCGGAAAUGGUUUCCUUCAUUUUAAUUCUUUUUUGCAAAUGCUUGUUGGGAGUCCUCGCUAGUUGACAUUUCUUCACUUUAUUUAUUUUGAGAGACACACGUAGAAAAAAAAUGUGUGUGCCAGCAUGGGGAGGGGCGGAAAGAGAGGGAGAGAGAGAAUCUCAAGCAGACUCCACACUGUCAGUGUAGAGCCCGAUGUGGGGCUCGAUCCCACAAACCGUGAGAUCGUGACCUGAGCCAAAAUCAAGAGCUGGAUGCUUAACCGACUAAGCCACCCAGGUGCCCCUCACUAGUUGACAUUUCUAAGGAAGAAACUGGCUUCAUUAGUUGUCAGCAAACUUGGGUACCUCCUUGUCUUGCCUUGUUUGUAGUGUCCUCCCAGUCCCAAGAAGACAGACACUGAAGAAUGAAGGUGUAAUUUGGGGCUGCGAGUUUGAAAAAGUCCGUUCAUGUAAACUCAGUAAAUACGGAUCUAAUAAGAAGGGAGCAGAGAGAAAACAACCUGUCUUCCCUUCCGACGAUAUUCUGCUAACGAUUUACGAAAAUACAAGUACUUGGAUGGCUCCAGAUGUUUGUUUUUACAGAUGGUCAUCAACACAGAUUGAAAAAAACAAAUGUGGAUUUCCUCACAAGAGUGAGAACAUGUAAGUGGAAAAAUCCAGAAACACAAUUCCAGUUCUCCCAGAGUUCCUGCUUUUGCAUGUUUCGCGGUAGCAGGAUUGUCGUCACAUCUGCUGCUAAUCGCCUGUGUUUCCUCAGCCAAUCAUUAACUAACCCUGCGGGCUUCCGUGUGGAUCAUGCGUGAGGCGCCUGGACAGAUUAUCCUGAAGACUCCUUGAAGCUGUCAGACCUGUGUAUUCACUUGUAGGGUGUGGCUAUUCUGGGAUUACUGAGGAACCGGAUCAUGGUCCGAGGUGCACCAACACUGCAAUAAAUUAGUGGCAGAAGAUUUUCACAAGAGGAAACAGGAGAAGGCACUUCAGGCAGAGAAGCCAGCAGAAACAAAGGCCGACAGUGUCUGGGGAGGAUGAAGACCUGCCUGAUCCAGCUGCAGGGGGGCGGUGGGGGGGGGGGUCGUGCUGGCAGGGAAGCGUGGAGGCAGACCAGGGAGCGCCUUGAAUACCACGCCAAUGCCUCCAUCUGCCUUCCUCUCGACUGUGUGUGAACCACGCGGAAAGUGUCCGACGGAGCUGUUUUGUGUCCCCGACAGCGUGCAAAAUGGACGGAGGGCAAGCGUGAAGCUGAAGGCCGUUCUGAUGGCAGGAAGAGGGCAAAAUCGCGGCUUCACCCGGGGUAGCGGGACCAUACGAUGCUCCCGAGAAGGCACCAGAACGGCCUGGAUGCGCGGCUGAUGAGACGCACAACGAACCCAGAGGCUGGUUCAAGGCGGCUGGCCGAGGAGAGGGGAGUGGGAUGAGGGAGGGCAGGGGGAGGUCUGGACGCGUGGAUGACAUGGAUGGGCAGACCCCCGGGGUCGUGGGGUCAGGGUGGCAGCCUCGGCAGAUGGCCUUUCCUGGCCCCUUCGCCUUAAUUCCACCUGUACUCCUGUCCCCUGUGCGUGACGGCUUGGCGGGCGGAGGGGUGGGGCCCAAACCACCAAUGUGGGCUAAAUUGGCCUGUGAAUCGCACCUCCUCACCUGACACGGGUCCCCCAGGGACAUGCGCAGGUACACACACGGGGGACAGACACCUCUCGUCACCCCGAAAGCCUCUGGAGUGACCCCGAGGAUAACUCCUCGUUUCCCACUCGGCUUUUCUCCACUGCUGCCCCGGUGAAAGGGGUGUGUGACACUGAAGGUCACCACGCACGGGUCCUUCCCACGUGAUGACCUCCGGAAGGGAGGCUCACACGGAAAGACUUCCAGGCUCCGUGAACCUCAAACAGUCCACAAGGAGGUGCCACCGUGUCCUGGGGACUUUGUGUCUGUCACAGCCUUCAAGGAGGCAGGUAACGUCUGGAAGACGUGGGGGAUAAAAUAUUGCUAGAAUUUAAGGGGAAAACUAUUUGAAAAGCCAACGGUGGAAAUGGGGGGG